GGCUUCAAACAGGAAACCAGCACUCAUUGGCCUGCGUCCGCCGUCACUCUCGUGCCAGCAGGUUCGGCUGAGAGCCGAUCCGGGAUUGGUGGCGGGAGGGGGGAGGCGGAGAAACAGGAGGGUGAGAAGAGACGAGGCCCAGGAUUGGGCUCAGGCGAAAGGAACCCGGAUGCAGCCGCGAGCUCCGGUCGCGCUGUUGCCUCUUACGCCAGGCCGCUGGGUGGGUUGAAGUAGGGAGACCCGGCAGCUGCUGGGGCUGGGUCGAUAUGUCUACACCGGGGAAGUGUACGACGGACAGACUUGUCUUGCACCCCAGCUCCUUGAAGUUUCUGCAAACCUCCGCCGAGGCCAGCUCGGCAUGGUUUGUGUUGGCUGAGCUGACCGCUUUGCUCCUGCCCAGCCUGAGAAACUCAAGGGAAUCCAGCUUCCCGCUCUGGGAGAGUUUGCGAGACUCUCAUUGGCAAAGCCAGAGAAGACUUCACUUAACUCUAGCUAGAACAAGUAGUAAAAUAUUUAGAGACGUGUAGCAGGGGAAGGAAAUAUAAUAGUUCGACUGGUAGAGCAUCUGAUCUUGCAAGCCUACCUAAUGUUCAGGGUUCCAUUCUUGGGACGUAUACCAGCUUGUCUCUUUUCUCUUUGUCUCAUGUGAAACUCUAUUUAAUAAAUAAGAUACAUCUU